UACGUAGGGUGCGAGCGUUAAUCGGAAUUACUGGGCGUAAAGCGUGCGCAGGCGGUUCGUUGUGUCGGCGGUGAAAGCCCCGGGCUUAACCUGGGAAUGGCGUUUUGGGACUGGAAGGCUGGAGUACGGCAGAGGGAGGUGGAAUUCCACGUGUAGCAGUGAAAUGCGUAGAGAUGUGGAGGAACACCGAUGGCGAAGGCAGCCUCCUGGGCCAGUACUGACGCUCAUGCACGAAAGCGUGGGGAGCAAACAGG
rnacentral:rRNA from 1 species